GAUGAACGCUGGCGGCGUGCCUAAUACAUGCAAGUCGAGCGAACAGACGAGGCGCUUGCUCCUCUGACGUUAGCGGCGGACGGGUGAGUAACACGUGGAUAACCUACCUAUAAUACUGGUAUAACUUCGGGAAACCGGCUCUAAUACCGUAUAAUAUAUUGAACCGCAUUGUUCAAUAGUGAAAUACGGUUUUGCUGUCUCUUAUAGAUGGAUCCGCGCCGCAUUAGCUAGUUGUUAAGGUCACGGCUUACCAAGGCAACGAGGCGUAGCCGACGUGAGAGGGUGGUCGGCGACAUGGGAAGUGAGACACGGUCAAGACGACUACGAGAGGCAGCAGUAGGGAAUCGGACGCAAUGGGCGAAAGCAUGACGGAGCAAGGCGGCGUGAGUGAUGAAGGUCUUCGGAUCGUAAAACUCUGUUAUGAGGGAAGAACAAAUGUGUAAGUAACUAAGCACGUCGUGACGGUACCGAAUCAGAAAGCAACGGCUAACUACGUG
rnacentral:rRNA from 1 species